UACAGAGGGUGCGAGCGUUAAUCGGAAUUACUGGGCGUAAAGCGUGCGUAGACGGUCAAGUAAGUCGGGUGUGAAAGCCCCGGGCUCAACCUGGGAAUUGCAUUCGAGACUGCGUGGCUAGGGUGCGGAAGAGGGAAGCGGAAUUUCCGGUGUAGCGGUGAAAUGCGUAGAUAUCAGGAGGAACACCGAUGGCGAAGGCAGGUCUCUGGGCUGACACUGACGCUCAUGCACGAAAGCGUGGGGAGCAAACAGG
rnacentral:rRNA from 1 species